rnacentral:rRNA from 1 species
GCUGUCGUUUGGAGAUGGGCCCGCGUCCGAUUAGCUAGUUGGUGAGGUAAUGGACCACCAAGGCGACGAUCGGUAGCCGAACUGAGAGGUUGAUCGGCCACAUUGGGACUGAGAGACGGCCCAAACUCCUACGGGAGGCAGCAGUGGGGAAUAUUGCGCAAUGGGGGAAACCCUGACGCAGCAACGCCGCGUGAAGGAUGAAGGUUUUCGGAUCGUAAACUUCUUUGAUGAGGGACGAAACUGAUGAUGGUACCUGUUGAAUAAGCCCCGGCUAACUACGUGCCAGCAGCCGCGGUAAUACGUAGGGGGCGAGCGUUGUCCGGAGUUACUGGGCGUAAAGAGCGUGUAGGCGGUUGGAAAAGUCAGGUGUGAAAUUCUUCGGCUCAACCGGGGGACUGCGCCUGAAACUUUCCGACUGGAGUUUGGGAGGGGCAACUGGAAUUCCUGGUGUAACGGUGAAAUGUGUAGAUAUCAGGAGGAACACCCGUGGCGAAGGCGGGUUGCUGGACCAAAACUGACGCUGAGACGCGAAAGCGUGGGGAGCAAACAGGAUUAGAUACCCUGGUAGUCCACGCCGUAAACGAUGGGUACUAGGUGUUGCGGGUAUUGACCCCUCGGUGCCACAGCUAACGCAAUAAGCACUCCGCCUGGGGAGUACGGUCGCAAGACUGAAACUCAAAGGAAUUGACGGGGGCCCGCACAAGCGGUGGAGUAUGUGGUUUAAUUCGACGCAACGCGAAGAACCUUACCAGGGCUUGACAUGCAGGUGAAUAAGCAAGAGAUUGCUUAGUCCUUCGGGACACCUGUGCAGGUGGUGCAUGGUUGUCGUCAGCUCGUGUCGUGAGAUGUUGGGUUAAGUCCCGCAACGAGCGCAACCCCUACAGCUAGUUGCCAGCACAUAAUGGUGGGAACUCUAGCAGAACUGCCGUUGACAAAACGGAGGAAGGUGGGGAUGACGUCAAAUCAUCAUGCCCCUUAUGUCUUGGGCUACACACGUACUACAAUGGCCUGAACAGAGGGCAGCAACACAGCGAUGUGAAGCCAAUCCCAUAAAGCC